UACAGAGGUCCCAAGCGUUGUUCGGAUUCACUGGGCGUAAAGGGUGCGUAGGCGGUCGGGUAAGUCUGGCGUGAAAUCUCCAAGCCUAACUUGGAAACUGCGUUGGAUACUAUCCGGCUCGAGGAAUGGAGGGGAGACUGGAAUUCCUGGUGUAGCGGUGGAAUGCGCAGAUAUCAGGAGGAACACCGGUGGCGAAGGCGGGUCUCUGGGCCGACACUGACACUGAGAGACGAAAGCUAGGGGAGCGAAUGGG
rnacentral:rRNA from 1 species